rnacentral:rRNA from 1 species
GCAUGUCUAAGUAUAAACGAUUUAAUCGUGAAACCGCGAAUGGCUCAUUAUAACAGCUAUAAUUUACUUGAUCUUGACACAAUCCUACUUGGAUAACUGUGGUAAUUCUAGAGCUAAUACAUGCAUUAAAGCUCUGACCUCACGGGAAGAGUGCAUUUAUUAGAACAAAACCAAGCGGCUUCGGCUGUUUCUGGUUGACUCAUAGUAACUGAGCUGAUCGCAUGGUCUUGCACCGGCGACGUGUCUUUCAAGUAUCUGCCGUAUCAACUUUCGAUGGUAGUGUAUCUGACUACCAUGGUGAUCACGCGUAACGGAGAAUAAGGGUUCGGCUCCGGAGAGUUCGCCUGAGAAAUCGCGAACACAUCUAAGGAAGGCAGCAGGCGCGAAAAUUACCCACUCUCAGCACGAGGAGGUAGUGACGAAAAAUAACGAGACCGUUCUCUUAUGAGGCCGGUCAUCGGAAUGGGUACAAUUUAAACCCUUUAACGAGUAUCU